GGUUCCGAUCGGUCUUGACGGGAAACCAGGCCAGCACGGACUCAAGGGCGACGCGGGUCCUCGUGGUCCAAAAGGAUUGCCGGGUGAACCUGGACCCAAAGGAGAGAAGGGUUUAUGUGGAGAGUAUUCUCACCGGGGCCUUCCUCUGAAAACUCUGGCAGCCUUGCGCUCCAGUCAGGCCCUCACAUUAAAGCAGGGAGAACCCGGACCUCCAGGACCACCCGGCCCUCCUGGUGUUCCAGGACUCAACGGACCCAGCGGCCCUCCGGGAAAACCGGGGGAGCCUGGCAAACCAGGGAAGGACUCUAAGGUG